rnacentral:rRNA from 1 species
GAUGAACGCUAGCGGCAGGCCUAAUACAUGCAAGUCGAACGGUGUCUUCGGACAUAGUGGCGCACGGGUGCGUAACACGUAUGCAACCUACCUUACAUUGGGGGAUAGCCUUUCGAAAGGGAGAUUAAUACCGCAUAAGACAGUAGCUGGGCAUCCAACAGCUGUUAAAGAUUUAUCGAUGUAAGCUGGGCAUGCGUCCAAUUAGCUAGUUGGUGAAGUAACGGCUCACCAAGGCAUGAUUGGUAGGGGAACUGAGAGGUCAAUCCCCCACACUGGCACUGAGAUACGGGCCAGACUCCUACGGGAGGCAGCAGUAGGGAAUAUUGGGCAAUGGACGCAAGUCUGACCCAGCCAUGCCGCGUGCAGGAUGAAGGCGUUAUGCGUUGUAAACUGCUUUUAUACAGGAAGAAACGACUCUUGCGAGAGGCAUUGACGGUACUGUAUGAAUAAGCACCGGCUAACUACGUGCCAGCAGCCGCCGUAAGAC